rnacentral:miRNA from 1 species
GGCCUUGUUCCUGUCCCCA